UACGGCCGCAUCACGUUGAAACACCGAUUCCGUACGAUCACCGAAGUUAAACAACGUCGAUCCUUGUCAGUACAUAGAUGGGUGACCGCUGAAGAAUACUAGGUGCUGUAAG